rnacentral:tRNA from 1 species
GAGAAGUCAUAAAGGUUAUGGGGUUGACUUUAAAUCAAUCUUAGGUGGUUCAAUUCCUCCCUUUCUUG